CGCUACCACAUCCAAGGAAGGCAGCAGGCGCGCAAAUUACCCACUCCCAGCACGGGGAGGUAGUGACGAAAAAUAACGAUACGGGACUCAUCCGAGGCUCCGUAAUCGGAAUGAGUACACUUUAAAUCCUUUAACGAGGAUCCAUUGGAGAGCAAGUCUGGUGCCAGCAGUCGCGGUAAUUCCAGCUCCAAUAGCGUAUAUUAAAGUUGUUGCGGUUAAAAAGCUCGUAGUUGAAUCUGUGUGCCACGCUGUCGGUUCACCGCUCGCGGUGUUAAACUGAUAUGCUCGUGGUACGUCCUACCGGUGGACUUAGCUCUUUUCGGAGGGCGGUCCGUUUUAAUCCUAUUUCGGUGCUUUUAAUCGAGUGUCGAGGUAGGCCGGUACGUUUACUUUGAACAAAUUAGAGUGCUCAAAGCAGGCUAUAUUUGCCUGAAUAUUGUGUGCAUGGAAUAAUGGAAUAGGACCUCGGUUCUAUUUUGUUGGUUUUCGGAACACCGAGGUAAUGAUUAAUAGGGACAGAUGGGGGCAUUCGUAUUGCGACGUUAG
rnacentral:rRNA from 1 species